ACGCUGGCGGCAGGCUUAACACAUGCAAGUCGAACGAUGACUCUCUAGCUUGCUAGAGAAGAUUAGUGGCGGACGGGUGAGUAACAUUUAGGAAUCUGCCUAGUAGUGGGGGAUAGCUCGGGGAAACUCGAAUUAAUACCGCAUACGACCUACGGGUGAAAGGGGGCGCAAGCUCUUGCUAUUAGAUGAGCCUAAAUCAGAUUAGCUAGUUGGUGGGGUAAAGGCCCACCAAGGCGACGAUCUGUAACUGGUCUGAGAGGAUGAUCAGUCACACCGGAACUGAGACACGGUCCGGACUCCUACGGGAGGCAGCAGUGGGGAAUAUUGGACAAUGGGGGCAACCCUGAUCCAGCCAUGCCGCGUGUGUGAAGAAGGCCUUUUGGUUGUAAAGCACUUUAAGCAGGGAGGAGAGACUAAUGGUUAAUACCCAUUAGAUUAGACGUUACCUGCAGAAUAAGCACCGGCUAACUCUGUGCCAGCAGCCGCGGUAAUACAGAGGGUGCGAGCGUUAAUCGGAAUUACUGGGCGUAAAGCGAGUGUAGGUGGCUCAUUAAGUCACAUGUGAAAUCCCCGGGCUUAACCUGGGAACUGCAUGUGAUACUGGUGGUGCUAGAAUAUGUGAGAGGGAAGUAGAAUUCCAGGUGUAGCGGUGAAAUGCGUAGAGAUCUGGAGGAAUACCGAUGGCGAAGGCAGCUUCCUGGCAUAAUAUUGACACUGAGAUUCGAAAGCGUGGGUAGCAAACAGGAUUAGAUACCCUGGUAGUCCACGCCGUAAACGAUGUCUACUAGCCGUUGGGGUCCUUGAGACUUUAGUGGCGCAGUUAACGCGAUAAGUAGACCGCCUGGGGAGUACGGCCGCAAGGUUAAAACUCAAAUGAAUUGACGGGGGCCCGCACAAGCGGUGGAGCAUGUGGUUUAAUUCGAUGCAACGCGAAGAACCUUACCUGGUCUUGACAUAGUGAGAAUCCUGUAGAGAUGCGGGAGUGCCUUCGGGAAUUCACAUACAGGUGCUGCAUGGCUGUCGUCAGCUCGUGUCGUGAGAUGUUGGGUUAAGUCCCGCAACGAGCGCAACCCUUUUCCUUAUUUGCCAGCGGGUUAAGCCGGGAACUUUAAGGAUACUGCCAGUGACAAACUGGAGGAAGGCGGGGUCGACGUCAAGUCAUCAUGGCCCUUACGACCAGGGCUACACACGUGCUACAAUGGUAGGUACAGAGGGUUGCUACACAGCGAUGUGAUGCUAAUCUCAAAAAGCCUAUCGUAGUCCGGAUUGGAGUCUGCAACUCGACUCCAUGAAGUCGGAAUCGCUAGUAAUCGCAGAUCAGAAUGCUGCGGUGAAUACGUUCCCGGGCCU
rnacentral:rRNA from 1 species